UCAAGCUGAAAAGAGCGCAAGGGGAAUGCCUUGGCAUCAGGAGCCGACGAAGGACGUGACAAGCUGCGAUAAGCCACGGGGAGGAGCAAAUAUCCGUUAUAUCCGUGGAUUUCCGAAUGGGGGAACCCGCUCAAGCAAUACUUGAGCAUCGUGCGUUGAAUCAAAUAGGCGUACGAAGGGAACGGCCUGAACUGAAACAUCUAAGUAGGGCCAGGAAAAGACAUCAACCGAGAUUCCGCUAGUAGUGGCGAGCGAACGCGGAGGAGGCCAAACCGAGGGACGCAAGUUCUUCGGGGUUGCGGACAGACAUCAAGACCAGAGGUAAUUAAGAGAACGGCGUGGGAAAGCCGGCCACAGAAGGUGAGAGCCCUGUAUCUGAAAAUGAAGACUGGCAGUCUGGAUCCAGAGUACCGCGGGACACGUGAAACCCCGUGGGAAACCGGGUGGACCACCAUCCAAGCCUAAAUACUACCUGAUGACCGAUAGAGGAGCAGUACCGUGAGGGAAAGGUGAAAAGGACCCCGGGAGGGGAGUGAAAGAGAACCUGAAACCUUGUGCCUACAAGCACAUAGAGCACAUCAACGUGUGAUAUGGUACUUUUUGUAGAACGGUCCGGCGAGCGAUUGUAUGUUGCGAGCUUAAGGUCUUAAGGACUGGAGGCGUAGCGAGAGCGAGUCUGAACAGGGCGUUCAGUAACAUGCAAUGGGCCCGAAACCGGGUGACCUACCCAUGAUCAGGCUGAAGUGAAAGUAAAAUUUCAUGGAGGGCCGAACCGACCUCCGUUGAAAAGGCGGCGGAUGAAUUGUGGGUAGCGGAGAAAUUCCAAUCGAACUCGGAGAUAGCUGGUUCUCCCCGAAAUAGCUUUAGGGCUAGCGUUAUGUUAGAUUACCGGAGGUAAAGCACUGAAUGGUGGCGGGGCCGAUAAGGUUACCAAGACCUAUCAAACUCUGAAUGCCGGAUAAUUGAUGCAUAGCAGUCAGACAGCGUGAGAUAAGUUUCGUUGUCAAAAGGGAAACAGCCCAGACCCACAGCUAAGGUCCCAAAUUCAUGCUAAGUGGAAAACGAUGUGGAAUUGCGAAAACAACCAGGAUGUUGGCUUAGAAGCAGCCACUCAUUAAAAGAGUGCGUAAUAGCUCACUGGUCGAGUGACUCUGCGCGGAAAAUAUAACGGGGCUAAGCAUGAAACCGAAGCUUGGGCUUGUACUUAGGUACAGGGGUAGGGGAGCGUCGAGUAUGGGGUGAAGUCAGAGCGGAAGCACUGGUGGACUGUACUGGAGUGAGAAUGCCGGAAUGAGUAGCGAGAAUUAUGUGGGAAUCAUAAUGGCCGAAAAUCUAAGGUUUCUUGGGGAAGGUUCGUCCGCCCAAGGUAAGUCGGGAGCUAAGCUCAGGCCGAGAGGCGUAGGCGAUGCACAUACGGUAGAAAUUCCGUAACCACCGAAACUUAAACAGAGGGACACUUCGAAAUAGCGGAACCCGGGCGUUGGUUGACCCGGGCGAAAGGGAGCGAAAUUAGAGUAGCGAAGUCCGCGAUGUUCGGAGGCGAGAAAAGCUCUGAGGUAUGCUAAGGUGCCCGUACCGCAAACCGACACAGGUAGAUGAGGAGAGAAUCCUAAGGCCAACGGGAGAAGGGUUGUUAAGGAACUCGGCAAAUUGACCCCGUAACUUCGGGAGAAGGGGUGCUCCAGAGAUGGAGCCGCAGAGAAUCGGCCCAAGCAACUGUUUACCAAAAACACAGGUUUGUGCUAAAUCGAAAGAUGACGUAUACGAGCUGACGCCUGCCCGGUGCUGGAAGGUUAAGAGGAGAUGUGCAAGCAUUGAAUCGAAGCCCCAGUGAACGGCGGCCGUAACUAUAACGGUCCUAAGGUAGCGAAAUUCCUUGUCAGGUAAGUUCUGACCCGCACGAAAGGUGUAACGAUUUGGGCGCUGUCUCGGCAGCAGACUCGGUGAAAUCUUAGUACCUGUGAAAAUGCAGGUUACCCGCAACUAGACGGAAAGACCCCAUGGAGCUUUACUGCAGCCUGAUAUUGAAUUCUGGUCAUACAUGUACAGGAUAGGUGGGAGACAAAGAGACGUGCACGCCAGUGUACGAGGAGUCGACGUUGGGAUACCACUCUUGUGUGACCGGGGUUCUAACCUGGUAUCGAGAACAGGUACGGGGAGAGUGUCAGGUGGGCAGUUUGACUGGGGCGGUCGCCUCCCAAAGAGUAACGGAGGCGCCCAAAGGUACGCUCAGAUUGGAUGGAAACCAAUCGUCGAGUGCAAUUGCAGAAGCGUGCUUGACUGUGAGACAGACAAGUCGAACAGGGACGAAAGUCGGGAAUAGUGAUCCGGCGGUGCCGAAUGGAAGGGCCGUCGCUCAACGGAUAAAAGCUACCCUGGGGAUAACAGGCUGAUCUCGCCCAAGAGUUCACAUCGACGGCGAGGUUUGGCACCUCGAUGUCGGCUCAUCGCAUCCUGGAGCUGGAUUCGGUUCCAAGGGUUGGGCUGUCCGCCCAUUAAAGCGGUACGCGAGCUGGGUUCAGAACGUCGUGAGACAGUUCGGUCCCUAUCUGUUGUGGGCGAAGGAGAUCUGCGGAGAGCUGUCCUCAGUACGAGAGGACCGGGAUGGACCUACCGCUGGUGCACCGGUUGUUCCGCCAGGGGCAUAGCCGGGUAGCUAAGUAGGGAAAGGAUAAGCGCUGAAAGCAUCUAAGCACGAAGCCUACUCCAAGAUGAGAUCUCCCAUUCGCAAGAAGUAAGACCCCUUAAAGACGAUAAGGUAGAUAGGCCAGGGAUGGAAGUGCAGUGAUGUACGGAGUUGACUGGUACUAAUCGGUCGAGGACUUAAUCAG
rnacentral:rRNA from 1 species